rnacentral:rRNA from 1 species
GCUGCUUCGCUGACGAGUGGCGGACGGGUGAGUAAUGUCUGGGAAACUGCCUGAUGGAGGGGGAUAACUACUGGAAACGGUGGCUAAUACCGCAUAACGUCGCAAGACCAAAGAGGGGGACCUUCGGGCCUCUUGCCAUCAGAUGUGCCCAGAUGGGAUUAGCUUGUUGGUGAGGUAACGGCUCACCAAGGCGACGAUCCCUAGCUGGUCUGAGAGGAUGACCAGCCACACUGGAACUGAGACACGGUCCAGACUCCUACGGGAGGCAGCAGUGGGGAAUAUUGCACAAUGGGCGCAAGCCUGAUGCAGCCAUGCCGCGUGUAUGAAGAAGGCCUUCGGGUUGUAAAGUACUUUCAGCGGGGAGGAAGGUGUUGUGGUUAAUAACCGCAGCAAUUGACGUUACCCGCAGAAGAAGCACCGGCUAACUCCGUGCCAGCAGCCGCGGUAAUACGGAGGGUGCAAGCGUUAAUCGGAAUUACUGGGCGUAAAGCGCACGCAGGCGGUCUGUCAAGUCGGAUGUGAAAUCCCCGGGCUCAACCUGGGAACUGCAUUCGAAACUGGCAGGCUU